rnacentral:rRNA from 1 species
UACGUAGGGUGCGAGCGUUGUCCGGAAUUAUUGGGCGUAAAGGGCUCGUAGGCGGUCUGUUGCGUCGGGAGUGAAAACUCAGGGCUUAACCCUGAGCCUGCUUCCGAUACGGGCAGACUAGAGGUAUGCAGGGGAGAACGGAAUUCCUGGUGUAGCGGUGAAAUGCGUAGAGAUCGGGAGGAACAUCAGUGGCGAAGGCGGCGCUCUGGGCCGGUACUGACGCUGAGGAGCGAAAGCGUGGGGAGCAAACAGG